ensembl:snoRNA U3 Small nucleolar RNA U3
UAGACUAUACUUUCAGGGAUCAUUUCUAUAGUUUGUUACUAGAGAAGUUUCUCUGAAUGUGUAGAGCACCGAAGACAAGAAU